CUCUAUCCCACUGAUUCUAGUUGAGCUAUAGUGCAAACCCUGAUAAAUGCUCUUGAUGCAUGCUGCAUGUCUCAUCGAUUCACUGCAGCUCUAACCACACGUAAGAGAACUGCUAGGAGCUGAGACCAUGAUUGCAUCAUUUCCUCUGACUGUGGGUGGCAGAAGGUCACUGCACUGAUACCAGUCAUGCUCAUGAGAAUACUCGUACAUCUCAGAAUGACUGACACCUGGAAACGGCGUGUUCCUGCACAUUUGAUGCAUGAAAUGACAUCUAAAAUGACUCAGUCAGAAUGAGUACAAAUUAAUUAUAAUUAGGAUAUCAGUAGUUAGUUGGGAGAGUGAUUCAGCAGACAAAAUUACCCAAGGAAAUUCAAAGAAGAUGGAGAAAGACAGAGUCUUGUGCCCUGCAUUUAUAAGUAUCCUUAUGUUUGUUGGGUAAAAAAAAAAAACUUAAUAAACAAAGUAAAAAAUUAAUUGACUGAUAUAAUUUGCCCCUAAGGUUUCUAUAGAUAUAACGAUAUAUCAAUAUUGUGAAUUCUUAUGGCCAGUAUAACCAUAAUAUAAAAAGUCUAACACUGUGACAGCCCCAAAGUGCAAAGUGCCUGGAAUAACUCUCCACAUGUCUAAGAACUGACAUAGCGGCUGAAUCACUCCAAUCGCUGUUGCUAGUGUUGUUCUUUGUAGACCAGAGCCUUGCCACGGUGAGGCUAAAUACCCUGGUGGGGAAAUGGUUUGCGGAGGAUAACACUGGGAGGCCAUCAUAGGCACAGACAGUGGCUCUGUGCUUCUGUGAGGCAGGGAACAAGGCAAACAUAAUGAAAGAUGUGGUGCUUGUGAGCAAGGCCUCCAGUGAGUUCUCUCCUCUUCUUGGCAGGUCCGUCAGCACAAAGGUUUGGCAGCCGAGGGUGGUCCGCUGUCAUGGACGAGAUUCCUCCUCUGUCUGUGACAACUUUUCCCGGAUCCCAUCCACUGCUGGGGGCGAAAAUCAUGUCGAAGAGCUGCGGAGGCUCCUUAGUCAUUCUCUUACUGGAGCGGGAUGCAGAUGAGAAGUGUGAUCUCGAUGGUGGAUGGAAUGGCUGCCGGGGCAUCAGGUGACUCAUCGUCUUAGAUCACUUUUCCAACUCUUGCCUACCGUAGCAAUAGGAGCACAGAAGAUGCAGGUCCACCACCAUCAUGCUGGACACCGGGGUACCACAGGGCUGUGCUGAGCCCAUUCCCCUACUCCCUCUACACCCACCACUUCAGGCUUGUGCAUGGAUCCAAUUCCAUCAUAAAUUUUGCAGAUGACACCACAGUGAUUGGCCUCAUCAGAGACUACAAUAAGAUUGCCUAGAGGGAGGAGAUACAGCACCUGGCCGCAUGGUGUGCUGUAGGGCUGUCAACCAAUAUUCUAAAUUCAAAUAUAUAUUAGAAUAGUAAAAAAAAAAAAAAAAACUAAUUUCAAAGGUGAAAAUUAACAUUCGAAUAAAAAAAAUGUGGAAAAAAAUGCCCACGGUAGUAGAGGCGUGGCUGUCUGCUUUGCGAUUGAGCGCGCUAGCGCCUGAGGGUUCAGGGACAGGUCACUGAAAGUCGACGCGUCUUGCAAGGAUGAUGGCAGAAAGUGCAGAGCCCAACUCGACCGCAGCAGAGAAAGUGAGGUAAAAUUUUUGACCCACGAGAUAAAGUUGUAUGCAAGCUAUGUAAGAUACAGUUAGCAUACCAUUCGACCACCUGAACUGAUGUCACAUCUCACAAAAAUGUCCACCCAAAUGAGCAUGGCAUAAUGUGUAGAACUCCAGCUAAACAGUCAUGUCUUGACUGGACGUUUCUUUGCUUCUCCCGCCACAAGCUCUUUGUCCGCAACACAACUAGAGACCAUAGCGCCAUAAAAGGACAUGAGACCGAUCAGUACUGUCAAGCAAUAGAAGCGAGGUUUGAUUAUUUAUAGUUUCAUGUCAAGGAAAAGUUCCUUG